rnacentral:rRNA from 1 species
AUGUUACGCCAGUCAGUGGAUGGCUUGGCUCGAGUAAAACAAGGCCCCGCGGCAAGCUGCGAAAAGCUCAGGGUAGGCGCAGGCAUCCUGUGAUCCUGAGGUAGGGCGGCGCGUCGAAAGACGCAAAUACCCCGAGAAUUAAAACAUUCUAGUAACGGGUGGAAAAGAAACCAAUUGGUAUUCGGCAAGUAAGGGUGACUGAAAGCCGAACAGAGCGCACCGAAUCCUGAGCAGUAAUGUUCAGGAGAUGUGGGGUGGAAUAUCCGUUUCCGGAUUCGAGGUCGGCUGAAAUGCCGCGCCAUAGAGGGUGAAAGCCCCGUAGUUCAACGGAAGCGGAGUGAAGCCAUGCGAGUAGUGCUCAUCGGAUAUUGGGCAUGAAUACGGCGGGACUAACCGCCAACUCUAAAUAUAACUCGAGACCGAUAGCGAAUUAGUAACGCGAGUGAAAGCUGAAAAGGAGUCCGAAAGGACAGUUAAAAGAUCCUCAAACUGACUGGUUACAAUUUGAUGCGGCAUGAAAGGGCACGACUGCUGAAGCGACUCUCCGAGAGGGGGGAAGCGAGGCGGGAAUACCAGUGUCGCAUCGCUCUUCUCGAAGCAAGAGCCAGGGAGUUGAUGUUGUGUGGCGAGGCGAAAGCCGAAGCGAAAGCGAGCGUGCGCAUCGCAAGAAAGGCACGUCGUCCGAAAGGGCGAGCAGUCACACGCAUCAGACUUGAAGCCGAUGUGAACUAAGCGAGAGCAGGUCGAAGCCAGCCUGACGGCUGGUGGAGGACCGCAACCGAUGCUAGUAUAUUCUGCUCGGGUGACUCGUGCUUAGGGGUGAUAGUCCAAUCGAACUCGGCAAUAGCGAGUUCCCCUCGAAAUGUCCCUCAGGACAGCCUCGAUGGAGGUGGGUUGCGUGGUAGAGCACUGAUCACGGGGAUCGGUUCCGAAAGGGAUCGCCUUGUUGUCAAACUCCGAAUAUGCAACCGCCGUAGAAGUCGGGAGUCGGGUUCUACUGGGUAAGCUAGUAGGCCAUUACGGGAACGACCGGGACCGUGGUUAAGGUCCCUAAAUUCAGGCUAAGUGCGAAUCCACAAGGAGUGUCCGGUCUAAAACAGCUGGAAGGUAGGCUUAGAAGCAGCCAUCCUUUAAACAACGCGUAAUAGCGGACCAGUCUAGAUCGCGCAUUCCGAAGAUGAUCGGGGCUAAGCCUGGUACCGAAACCCCGGAGACGCCCCAAAAGGGCGUUCUGGUAGGGAGGCGAGCUGGCUGGGCAGAAGCAGGGCGGUGACGUCCUGUGGACCGGCCAGUUACGAAGAUCCUGGUAUUAGUAACAGCAUAUCCAGGCGAGAAUCCUGGACGCCGAAUAGCACACGGGUUUCUGGGCAAUGUUCUUCAGCUCAGAGUAAGGCGAUCCUAAGACGAUAGCUAAUCGCGACUCGUCAAAAGGGAAAACGGUCAAGAUUCCGUUCCCGUGCAGAUAGACGCGGCAACGCAAGUUGCAUUCCUGACGCUUUGGGGUAGGGUGCGCGGAGGAGACUCCGCUUAAAGCUGAUAAUGCCUUCGAGUCUCGUUAUGAGGAGAAGGGGCAUAAACGGCCCAAAAGCACCUGAUCCCUGGAGCCCAUGAAAAGGGAAUGCAUCCGAUUCUGCACGUCCGUACCUAGAACUAUUACUGGUGCUGCUGGCAGAACAAGCCAAGGCGUGACAGGGAGAUUCAGCUAAGGGAACUCGGCAAAAUAGUGGCUUAACUUCGGAAUAAGCCAUGCCUGCUUUUCCGCAAGGACUGGCAGGUCGCAGUGACAAGGGGAGGUCGACUGUUUAUCAAAAACACAACUCGCAGCAAAUCGGAAACGAUUAGUAUUGCGGGUG